CUUCUCAUUCCUAUCUGAAUCAACCCGAAUUGUAGGUUUUUUAUCCUCAAUUUUCUGUUCAGAAUUAUUACUCAAUUUUUGAGUUGCAGGCUUCGAAUUGGAUGAUAAAGAUUGAUUAUGCUUUGGAGUACUCAAAGAUUGGGAGGGCCUGGUUGCAUUGAAGUUUGCAGGACCUGAAGGAGGAGGAGAAGAAGAAGAAGAAGAAGAAGAGCCCAAGACUCUACCUUGACCCCUGAAUUUGCCUGAAGAAGGCGAUGAAAAUGGGUUGUUGACUUUCUUCAUUAACCCCUUCAUUUUAUCUUUCAUCUCAUCCAUUUUCUUCCUAUUUCAAUGAAAUACAAACCAAAAACGAAUCAGAAAUCGAAACACCUCAAAAACAAGAAAGAAACGGAAUCUGAAUGAAUAUAUAUAUCCGUUUUCAACAUUUUCAACAAGAUAUAUGAACGAAUGGGAUAUUUAUAGUUACAAGGGAAAAGUGAAACUUUUAAGCUGAAUAUAUAAAUAUAAAAUUUCUUCUUGGACACGUGAAGUGAGACAAGGUACGAAGAGCACAAGAAAAUAGGGGCUGAGAAAUCUAUGGAGGGGUCGGUCCUUUGAGCAAAGCCAAAGGGUUAUGGAGCAAUUCGCUGAAUUUUGUUUUACUUUCUUUGGGUUA
rnacentral:lncRNA from 1 species